rnacentral:rRNA from 1 species
AUGACUGCCGAGUGGGAUGAAGAGAACACUAGGAUCGUUACCAACUUGAUGGUCACGCAAGUGCGGGCUGGAAAUAGGCCAAACAAAAUCUUGACCCCUAGUGCAUUCGACGAAGUGGCAUUGCAAUUCAAAGUGAGAACCAGAUUGGACUACACGAGCCACCAAAUGAAAAACAAAUGGGACAAGCUGAAAGCAGAAUACACUUUAUUCAAGAAGCUCAAGCUAAAGGAGACCGGAGGGGGAUGGGACUUUGUUAUCAACACUGUCAAACAAGAUAAGGAGUGGUGGAAGAAAGCAAAAAUUGACCUUCCAGGUUGCGGCAAGUUCCAAAAGCGUGGACUACGCAAUGAAGAAAACUUGAGCAUUAUGUUUGAGGACAUCACCAGUGAUGGCACAGAUCAUUGGAGUCCUUCAACAGGCAUACUCCCCUCCUCUAGUGCAGCAAUACCAGAUACCAUUGAUAUUGAAGCGAUCAAAGAUGUUGAUUUGUUAGAAGAUCCCCAAGUGCCACCUUCUCCUGUGUCAUCAACGAACAAGAGGCUUAGAAAAACCAUUGAUGACAAGCACAAGAAACCUAGGACUGCAGUGAUGCAGGAUGAGAUUACACAGAUUAAAAACAUUGCUAAGGAGUCCCAAGAAACCGUUCGAUCAUUCAUAAAGAAUGAGGAUGCCACUUCUGUUGCCACUACCAUGAAUGAAGUGCUUGCUUGUGAUAUUUUAGAGGGAAGUGAUGAACACUACAUUGCUACCGAGUUGUUCAUCAAAAGAGAGCAAAGAGAGAUGUUUCUACACAUGGGUGCUGGCGCACGUAAAGAUUGGCUUCAUAGGAAGUUUGCGAUGAUGUAUGGGAAAUAG